rnacentral:misc_RNA from 1 species
UUAACUAUUUAAUAGUACUCAGACGACACUAAUAUUCAGAGUUUAGGGGUCCUCUGGCGGGCACGCUAGAGGCGAAUCUAGGCGCACGAGGCGCGGCCCGCCAAAGCAACAUUCUAUAAUGAUACACAAGGGUGGGAGAUCUACCCCGAAGGGCAUGAACUCUGUAAUGAUCCUUCCGCAGGUUCACCUACGGAAA